AUUGAACGCUGGCGGCAUGCCUUACACAUGCAAGUCGAACGGCAGCACGGGGGCAACCCUGGUGGCGAGUGGCGAACGGGUGAGUAAUACAUCGGAACGUGUCCUGUAGUGGGGGAUAGCCCGGCGAAAGCCGGAUUAAUACCGCAUACGAUCUACGGAGGAAAGCGGGGGAUCUUCGGACCUCGCGCUGCAGGGGCGGCCGAUGGCAGAUUAGUUAGUUGGUGGGGUAAAGGCCUACCAAGGCGACGACCUGUAGCUGGUCUGAGAGGACGACCAGCCACACUGGGACUGAGACACGGCCCAGACUCCUACGGGAGGCAGCAGUGGGGAAUUUUGGACAAUGGGGGCAACCCUGAUCCAGCGAUGCCGCGUGUGUGAAGAAGGCCUUCGGGUUGUAAAGCACUUUUGUCCGGAAAGAAAACUUCGUCCCUAAUAUGGAUGGAGGAUGACGGUACCGGAAGAAUAAGCACCGGCUAACUACGUGCCAGUAGCCGCGGUAAAAC
rnacentral:rRNA from 1 species